GGCUGGGGUGCAGUGGCACAAUCAUGGCUCACCGCAGCCUCAACCUCCCAGGCUCAGGUGAUACUCCCACCUCAGCCUCCUGAGUAGCUAGGACUAUAAGCACUUGCCACCACGCCUGGCUAAUUUUUGUAAUUUUUGUAGAGAUGCGGUUUCACCAUGUUGCCUAGGCUGGUCUUGAACUCCUGGGCUCAAGCGAUCUGCCCACCUCAGCCUUCCAAAGUGCUAGGAUUACAGGCGUGAGCCACUGCACCUUGCCAGAACUUGCACAACUGUUUGCCC
rnacentral:lncRNA from 1 species